rnacentral:rRNA from 1 species
CCUACGGGAGGCAGCAGUGGGGAAUAUUGCUCAAUGGGGGAGACCCUGAUGCAGCGAAGCAGCGUGAGGGAGGAAGGCUUUAGGUAUGUUAAGCUCUUUUUGUAGGGAAGUAAAUGACGGUACCUGACUCAGAAGUCCUGGAUAUCUCCGUGCCAGCAGCCGCGGUUAUACGUCAGGGGCAAGCGUUAUCCGGAUUUACUGGGUGUAAAGGGAGCGUAGACGGCUAAUCAAGUCAGAAGUGAAAUCCCAGGGCUCAACUUUGGGACUGCUUUUGAUACUGAGUAGCUAGAGUGCAGGCGAGGUAAGCGGAAUUCCUGGUGUAGCGGUGAAAUGCGUAGAUAUUAGGAGGAACACCAAUGGCGAAGGCAGCUUACUGGACUGUAACUGACGUUGAGGCUCGAAAGCGUGGGGAGCAAACAGGAUUAGAUACCCUGGUAGUC